GGGACAGAAAAAUGAGUUAACAACAUGAGGUGAGCACUUACAAUAUAAUACUCAGCAGAUUAAAAAAAGGAAGGACAUUCAGACAUGCUGCUGUACAGAUAAACGUGGAGAACAUUAUUCUCAGUGAAAUCCAUCAAUUAAAAAAGGAUCAAUGGUUGUGACAUACUGACAGUUAAAACCAACCAGCCAUCUAGUGGGUGCCUCUGAGAUGGAGCAGGAGGGCUCACCAAAGAUUCCUGCUAAACACUGACUGCUUUCAGAAAGUGGUUUCCACCAAUGGCCAGUUUCAGAAAGCUCUCUCCCCCACAUACAGGGGUAAGGAGCAAUAGUAAGCACCUCCAUCACUAUUUUUGUGAGCCUCAUGCAGAAAGACAGCAAGGUUCAUGAGCAUUAAGUCUGUGUCAAGUGAAAAACCAUAUGUGGACAGAAAGAACUGACAAGGUGUGCAGGCAUCCUGGGAUCCUGUGCACCACUGAGAAUGUAUCAGGAAGAAGACUCUGCAGUUGCCUGCUUGCCUUGGUUUCCUUGGACUUUAUGAUUGCUGUCACACAAUAGACAGGAAAUAGAAAAACUUAGGGAAAAGGGUCAAAUGCCACUGGGCUAAGACCUGGAAACAGUUACUGUUGCAGGUGCUGGAGGCUGAUCAGGGAACACCUGGUUGUGUGUGUGUGUGUGUGUGUGUGUGUGUGUGUGUGUGUGUGUGUGUGUGUGUAGGGGGGGAUUAGGUUCUCUGAGGUCACAUACUAACAACUCAUUUUAAAAUUUAUGUUGCAUAUGCAUUGCUGUGCAUUUGAAAAAUCUGUUCUUAGCAUGUCAAAAUUGCGAUUUUGUUCUAUUUUUGCUUUUGCUAAAAAUCCUUUAAAUAGGUUGGCAUUAGAAUAGUAAUAAAAAUAAAAGUAACAUGAAAGGAC